rnacentral:snRNA from 1 species
AGCUUUGCGCAGUGGCAGUAUUGUAGCCAAUGAGGUUUAUCCGAGGCGUGAUUAUUGCUAAUUGAAAACUUUUCCCAAUACCCCACCAUGAAGACUUGAAAUAUAGUCGGCAUUGGCAAUUUUUGACAGUCUCUACGGAGA